UCCUACGGGGGGCAGCAGUGGGGAAUAUUGCACAAUGGGGGAAACCCUGAUGCAGCAACGCCGCGUGAAGGAAGACGGUUUUCGGAUUGUAAACUUCUUUUCUUAGUGAAGAAGCAAGUGACGGUAGCUAAGGAAUAAGCAUCGGCUAACUACGUGCCAGCAGCCGCGGUAAUACGGAGGGUGCGAGCGUUAAUCGGAAUUACUGGGCGUAAAGCGCUCGUAGGCGGAAUGUCAAGUCAAGGGUGAAAUCCCCGCGCUCAACG
rnacentral:rRNA from 1 species